AACUUAAUUCAUUUUCAGUUGCCAACAUAGCAAGUCACUGUUCAAAGCUCGAUCACCUUGCUGUUUGAAAACAACAACAAAUCAUCUUCCGGGGCAGCAAAGUUGGCUGGAUUUGGCCAACCAGUGGCUCAGGCUUCGCUGUUCGGCCAGGCAAGCCCGGUGGUGGAAUCGACACACCUAGAAGGUCCGAGCAACAACAGAAGUGGAUUGGUUACCAGUCUGCCACAAGGAAUGACCAGCAAAAGCCAAUUUUACUGCUGUUAAAUAGUAGGACUAUCUUCAGAAGCAGCGGUAAUCUACAUUCGAAUGGAUUCUGGCGGAUUGAUCCUCAAGAUGCUCAGAUGCUCAGAGCCGGAGGACGGUCUAUCGAUUGGCAAAGUAUCAUGACAAGAUACUUCAGACACACUAGCGUAUACAACCGAUCGGGCCAAUUCCCUGUAGUUCACUUGCAGAUAACCGAAAUCAAGUCUUCGUGAUUCGGAUUCGGAUGGUUCGGAUCGCUCCGCCAAAAAAAUUUCUCCCUUAAGGCUCGAUCCAACAUCUUGAGAGCUGGGUGUUGAUUCCAGCGACCCUCAUUUCAAAUUGCCCAAAGGUUCCAAACCGGAGGAUGAAAUCUUCGCACAGAAUCGAGUUUAGUUAUGACGGCUGAACUGGAUGCCCACAACUAAAUUUAACAUCAGAGAACUAGUCUAGCACCGAUAUUUGAUGCCCCAAGCCCACCUGCGUUCGGUGCAUCCGUUGCCGGCGCGAUAUCGACGGCUAGUGCCUUCGGAGCAUAAUCAAUUUUGGUGCCGAUCCUGGAUCCGAUCGUUGCCGCUAUUUCAAGCGCGCUAUUUAUUAGAUCUUCCAGCCUUUUCGGUGGAGUCAAUUUAACACCGGCAGCAUAAGUACAUGAGAUUCAAAGACGCAUCAUAGCAGGAAAUCGCACACACUUUGGACCGCUCCGAUUAAAUAUAAUUUGCGCCAUAACAAACAACUAUCUACAAAACGCUGAUUAGAUUAUUAAAUUUAUUUUAAAUUUAUAUUUAAUUUACAAUAUAUUUUGUUUCACAAUAUAU